rnacentral:rRNA from 1 species
AUUGAACGCUGGCGGCAGGCCUAACACAUGCAAGUCGAACGAGUGGCGGACGGGUGAGUAAUGUCUGGGAAACUGCCUGAUGGAGGGGGAUAACUACUGGAAACGGUAGCUAAUACCGCAUACCAUCGGAUGUGCCCAGAUGGGAUUAGCUAGUAGGUGGGUUAAAGGCUCACCUAGGCGACGAUCCCUAGCUGGUCUGAGAGGAUGACCAGCCACACUGGGACUGAUACACGGUCCAGUAUCCUACGGGAGGGAGGAGUGGGGAAGAUUGCACAAUUGGCGAAAGCCUGAUGCAGCCAUGCCGCGUGUAUGAAGAAGGACUUCGGGUUGUAAAGUACUUUCAGCGGGGAGGCGUUACUCGCAGAAGAAGCACCGGCUAACUCCGUGCCAGCAGCCGCGGUAAUUC